rnacentral:miRNA from 1 species
UUCUAGAGGAUCUUGGGCGCGC